AAAAAGCCUCUUAGAACACCCUUUUCUCUCACCACUAUUUCUCUAUCCAACACCGCCGCCGGAAAUCGUCCACGGCGGCGGCCGACUUCCAAACAUCCCAAAAUUUUCACCACGUGAUCUCCAUCUCUCCCUCUCUCUUAAUCUACCAUCCGAUUUUUCUUAAGGCCCUCACAGUUUUACGAUUUUUAGAUCUAAGAACCAAACCAAAAACCUAAUUCACCCCCUUCUUGUUUUCUCCUAAAUCUCAGCCUGCUCGAGGUCGAAACCUGCACCAAUUAACCCUCCUCGCUAUGUAUUCCAAUUUGGUGUUAGUAUUCGAUCCAUUUCUAGGCCGCCAGAAUCUUUCAUAUCUGUCAAAUGCCGUUGAACCUCAACGGGUUUUGUCCAAUGAAAUACUUAUCAGACAUCAAGGGUCCAGAUAAGUGUUCAUUGGACAAAGAUCGUUACUGUUCAACAUUGAAAUGCCGAUGUUUCGAAUCAUGUCCUCUGCUUUUGGGUCUUAUCGGCCCUGUUAAAAAUGAAGUUGAAAUAGUAUCCAUCUCCAGUCUCCAUGUUCUGUUUAGCCCUUCAUUAGAUUUGGAAGUUCGAAGACGUAAUAUGAAAAUAUUCAUGUGUAUGUUGAUUCAGUUAGAUUAGCUUUUUGAUUAGAAUUUGAAGACUACUUUCCUGCAAAACUGAUGGUUCUUGUAUAAGAAAACAGACUUAUAUUAAUUUCGCUCAUCAAUUCAUUUUCUCGAA